AUUUAUAUAGUAUAAUAGUAUAUUUGACUUCCAAUCAUAAGGUCUGUAAAUUACAGUAUAA
rnacentral:tRNA from 1 species